AGCAGUCGCCGCGGUAAUACGAAGGGUGCAAGCGUUAAUCGGAAUUACUGGGCGUAAAGCGUGCGUAGGCGGUUUGUUAAGUCUGUUGUGAAAUCCCCGGGCUCAACCUGGGAAUGGCAAUGGAUACUGGCAAGCUAGAGUGUGUCAGAGGAUGGUGGAAUUCCCGGUGUAGCGGUGAAAUGCGUAGAGAUCGGGAGGAACAUCUGUGGCGAAGGCGGCCAUCUGGGACAACACUGACGCUGAGGCACGAAAGCGUGGGGAGCAAACAGGAUUAGAUACCCCCGUAGUCCCUGUCUCUUAUAC
rnacentral:rRNA from 1 species